AGGAUCCCUCUAAGUCAUUUAUGACAUUAAUUACACCUGUGCUCCUCCUGCUGUGACAUGUCAAGCUGUCUCUGGUGGAAGAGAGGCUAUAGCAUGGACACUGAACCUGGGACUGGUGUUGGCAUGUGGCUGGACAUUGUUACACUGAUGUCCAUUAAGCACUGUCUGAGAAGCACACUAACACUGAACAAUUCGGAGGACUCAGUGAUGAUGGCAACAGGGAGAGACAUCCUAAUGAAACUAAUAAUGUGAUAACAAACUCCUCUGUAGUUUGAUGACUUAAUGAAGCUAAGGCUGGCGCUUGGUUUUGAACUGGGGCCAUUGGGAAUGUAACGCUUCAUGACAGCUUUGUCGAGGAUACCAUCUUUGCCUAACGUCAACAUUAUCUAUGUCAUGACCUAACCAAAGCCAUAACAACGAGGGCAGCUUUACAGGAAUCGAAACAGUCUAACCUGAUUCGGGACUCCAUUCUUCAGCCGUCACGAAGUUGUUGUCAUCAAACGCACCAUGAAGCCAGAAGACGGAGUUUACUGUCCACAGGUUGAGACCUUAGCGAUUUCCUGCUUCACUUCACCAAGCACAAAAAGCCAUUGUGUAGUUGUUGACAGACAUGAACAGGAGGCUACAUCCAGGAAAACACAAGAAGGAAGAGAUCUGAAUUUCAUCCCCUGUCACUUACAGUGAAAGUCCACAGGAAGGGAUCUUUUAAUAAAUGAUUAUAGCAAGCAAAACCUGUUUCACUGUUCAUACAGACAGCUGACUAUUGUACUGGGGUUGAAAAACUUGAAAAACUGUGAAUCUACUCUUUAACAAUUUUGUUGAACAUAAAAAAGUUUCAAAGCUUAGAUUUUUCCUAUAUCAUUAACUGGAUUAGACAAAAUCAUCUAGUUUAUUUGAUCAGGUGUAAUUUAA